GCGCAUGCGCCGACAAUAUUCACACGGAAGCCUCAGCCAAUGAGUUUCGCGGGCUUUGUUCUGAAGGUAAACAUAGAUUGGCAUCUGAAGUCUGAGAAAUCAAGACAUGUUUUUCUAUUCCGCACAAAGCAGUUAAAGCCACUCUCUCUUUUAAUCAACAUGUGAGUUCAUGGUCAGGGUUGUCCAGAGAUUUCCACGUCUCGUCGGGCCGUAAUGGAGCUCCUUGACUCAACCCUCUGAAAAUCAGGGUCACGCAUUGGACCAAGAUCACCAGCUUCCGCAUAUUGGAGAGAGCAGGCGGCUGUAUGGGAAGUAACAAGCCUAAGUCCUCCCCACUUGAAGGAUCAGAACAAACUUGAAUUUAAUCACACAAACAGGUUAAUGCAGCAACAAAUUACAAAAGUUAUAUGUACUGUGGGUUAAAUCUAUACACAAAAGCCACCCUAGUAUUAUUCUCACUGACUUGUAUGUUAAAAACUUUGCUUCUUUAUUUUCCAAACCGAAAUUAAAAUACUGUAGAACAUUACAUAUGUUGAAAACAAAACUUACCACAAUUUGGGCUUUUCCUCCUCCCUGCUGAGCUGCUUAGUAACCUACAGGGAAAACUGAUCACUCUUAUAGCUGUAGAGACGCGCAAACAGCCAGUGGUUGUCAAUGACGUUAGCAGGUGGGGUUUCAAAGGGCAGUAAUAACUCUUUUUUUUUUUGUCCUUAACAACCGUUCAUUCUUAUUGCAGGUAUUUUUAACAGUAAGAAGUCCUGGUACAAUGCAAUCCUUCCUCCUCCUCCCCAUCUCCAGAUAUAAAAUCUUUUACAGAAUUAGGGGUAUUUGUUGUUAUCAUUAUUAGUGCUUCUUCGCUCUCAAAAGGGGGGAAAUGGACCUUGUAAUAGAGGAUAACUCUAAACAGAAGAUCUGAACCAGCCAAAUUAGGCCACAUGGAAACCACACUGAUUUCAAAUGGAGAGGUUAAGCACCCACUCAAGGGAGCCCUGGCUUAUGCUUCCCAGUCAUCAGAGUGACCAUCACCCCAUAGUCAGCUAUAAUAUUUUAGGCACACUUAUUGGAUCAACCAAGGCCAUUAAGAAGUGAGCUGUUCAUUUCUAGCAGUUGGUGACAUAGGGCAAGGUCACCAAUAUCUGAAUAGCCUCCAUUAAGUCCAGCUUAAUGGCGUGGGCUGGAUUGUUGCUGUGUGUUCUAGCUAAAAUUAUAACUCAGUCUUUCCUCCUGCAAAUGUUUCUCCAGGUCAACACAUCUCAGUUGUCUUCUUUCUCCUUGCUCUACUAUUAUUUCUGCUUGUAUUUCUUAGGUUUCUCUGGUGCAACAGCUUAUGCCAGUUUCUUCUAAAAUUACUGCCAAAUGCCAUGGAAAAGUGACAUACUGAUAGAACUCACGAUACUGAUGACAAUAACAAUAUUGUUUAAAAGUACUUUUUAAAGUAAUUGUAGAUGCUGAACUAUGUGUGGACAAUCUUGAUCUGGACUAACAAAACCAGAAUUGUUCAAAGGGUUAAAAAGACCUCCUCCCUCGUUGUGCCUGUGACACAUGAAACCAGAACACAUUAAUUGCACUUGAUUGAAAUCAAAAGUACAUGAUUCACUGGAGAGUGCUAAUUUAACAAAUGACUUUCUAGCCAUACCACAAAAUUGGUGCUUCUCCCACAUCUACACACAGCAGUUAGUUUAAUCAAACAAAGUAAUGUGCCAAAUUAAUUUGAAUGGGUAGUAAUUUCCUGUGGAAGGAAAUUAUAAGGUCAGUUUUAUUGGUCUAAUCAUACAUCAGCAUGGAGCAGUGACAAUUCAAAUUAUUCUGAGUCUCCAAUGUAACAGUUAUCCCCCCCCCCCCCC